GGGAAGGUAGCUCAGUGGUAGAGUGCUUGCCUUGCAUGCAUGAGACCCUGGGUUCAAUUCCUAAGCACCA
rnacentral:tRNA from 1 species